rnacentral:rRNA from 1 species
GUCGAGGGGCAGCAUAAUGGAUAGCAAUAUCUAUGGUGGCGACCGGCGCACGGGUGCGUAACGCGUAUGCAACCUACCUUUAACAGGGGGAUAACACUGAGAAAUUGGUACUAAUACCCCAUAAUAUCAUAGAAGGCAUCUUUUAUGGUUGAAAAUUCCGAUGGUUAGAGAUGGGCAUGCGUUGUAUUAGCUAGUUGGUGGGGUAACGGCUCACCAAGGCGACGAUACAUAGGGGGACUGAGAGGUUAACCCCCCACACUGGUACUGAGACACGGACCAGACUCCUACGGGAGGCAGCAGUGAGGAAUAUUGGUCAAUGGACGCAAGCCUGAACCAGCCAUGCCGCGUGCAGGAUGACGGCUCUAUGAGUUGUAAACUGCUUUUGUACGAGGGUAAACGCAGAUACGUGUAUCUGUCUGAAAGUAUCGUACGAAUAAGGAUCGGCUAACUCCGUGCCAGCAGCCGCGGUAAUACGGAGGAUUCAAGCGUUAUCCGGAUUUAUUGGGUUUAAAGGGUGCGUAGGCGGUUUGAUAAGUUAGAGGUGAAAUUUCGGGGCUCAACCCUGAACGUGCCUCUAAUACUGUUGAGCUAGAGAGUAGUUGCGGUAGGCGGAAUGUAUGGUGUAGCGGUGAAAUGCUUAGAGAUCAUACAGAACACCGAUUGCGAAGGCAGCUUACCAAACUAUAUCUGACGUUGAGGCACGAAAGCGUGGGGAGCAAACAGGAUUAGAUACCCUGGUAGUCCACGCAGUAAACGAUGAUAACUCGUUGUCGGCGAUACACAGUCGGUGACUAAGCGAAAGCGAUAAGUUAUCCACCUGGGGAGUACGUUCG